GACGAACGCUGGCGGCGUGCUUAACACAUGCAAGUCGAACGGAAAGGCCCUGCUUUUGUGGGGUUCUCGAGUGGCGAACGGGUGAGUAACACGUGAGUAACCUGCCCUUGACUUUGGGAUAACUUCAGGAAACUGGGGCUCAUACCGGAUAGGAGCUCCUGCUGCAUGGGGGGGGUUGGAAAGUUUCGGCGGUUGGGGAUGGACUCGCGGCUUAUCAGCUUGUUGGUGGGGUAGUGGCUUACCAAGGCUUUGACGGGUAGCCGGCCUGAGAGGGUGACCGGCCACAUUGGGACUGAGAUACGGCCCAGACUCCUACGGGAGGCAGCAGUGGGGAAUAUUGCACAAUGGGCGGAAGCCUGAUGCAGCAACGCCGCGUGCGGGAUGACGGCCUUCGGGUUGUAAACCGCUUUCGCCUGUGACGAAGCGUGAGUGACGGUAAUGGGUAAAGAAGCACCGGCUAACUACGUG
rnacentral:rRNA from 1 species